AGAAAAUGCUUGCAAUGAAUUUUUAUGAGUACUAGGUAGCCUAUUAAUGAAUACAAUGUCUCCGUCCAUAAUACGUAUGUUUAUGAUUUGACCAACUUUCAAAUAUGUAUGUCCUUUUGAACCUUCCCUAAUUGCACAAGUGGUUGAACCAUCUCUAUAUGUUACACAUAAUUUGUCAUCCACUAGUUUUUGUAAAUGAAAUUAAGAGGAUUGAUCUCAACAGUAUGGUCGUCAUGCACAUAGACAGAAAAUGCUUGCAAUGAAUGUUUAUGAGUACUUGGUAAUUUUGGAGUCCUUGGUUAGGGUUUGGAAAGUACGAGUGUUGGAGCUAACGCUUUCGGAGUCCAAACUCAUUCUUUUGAAAAAUAGAAAAAUGAGAAUAUUAGUAAAUAUGGAUUUUCUUGUUAAGAAGAAAAUGGAAGAUGGAUUGAAAAAAACAUAAAAGAGAUUUUUUUCUUCUUCUUUUUUGCUUCAAGAGAGAGAGACCAAGCUAACAAUGAGCUUCUUUUAAAGGAUCAAUUGGUUUUGUUUCACAAUAAACCAAACUUUAAAACUAAGCUAACAAAGAGCUUCUUUCAAAGGAUCAAAAUUGAUAGCACUCUUACCUAAAAAGUAUUGAAGGCCUUUAAAGUCCUUUAUCUUAAAAUUUUGAGAGAGAUUUUUUAAAAUUUUCACAUAUCCUAUAACACCACUUGUGAUGAUCAAAUUAUCUAUGUCAACAACACAAAGUUUCAUUUAUAUAUUUCUUCACAAAAGUGCAUGUAUUAGUAAAAGGAAAAAUAAAAUCACUUGAAGAAAGUAUUCUCUAACCUUUGUAACCAAGCUUUAGAUGCUUGUUUUAGAUCAUGGAGUACCUUUUUUGGUUUGCAUGCAUGCCUUAGCUUCAUAUGAUCAUAAAAUUUCAUAGGUUGAUUAAUAUAUAUGAUGAAACCCUACUCUCUCACAGCAAUGUGAGAAUAACAACAUUCUAGAUAUGCAUAUCCUUUAUCUUUCUUGUAUGUAGUUACAUGUCGAAUUUCUUCGUUCUUUGAUUCAUUACACUCAAUUCAGGUAUGGUUUGCACCAAUUCAAGAGACUGUACAUUAGGCAUUCAAUAUAUAAGACUGGAGUGAGACUGAUUAGGCAUUUAAAUGUGUUGCAGGAUGUUGUUUGAAUUGCUUGUCCUAACAGGUGCACAAGUUGGGAUGGAUUGGACUUCUAUCUUGAGAAAAUGUCAUGAUUUCAGAAAGACAAAUAGCAUCAGUGGCCACAGAUUGCAACCUGGAUUUAAACAAGGUUCGAGGUGUCGUUAACAAUGCUAACAGAAUCCUCCAGGUCAGAUUGUUGAUUGGACCUGAUUUUAUUUAAAUGAUCUUGAUAAUCCAUUUUA